rnacentral:lncRNA from 1 species
AUAGUGUAGUGUAGGGAGGGCAUAGUGUUGGGAGGGCAUAGUGUAGUGUUGGGAGGGCAUAGUGUUGGGAGGGCAUAGUGUAGGGAGGGCAUAGUGGGGGAGUAGUGUGGGGCGGGCAUAGUGUAGUGUAGGGAGGGCAUAGUGUAGGGAGGGCAUAGUGUAGGGGCGGGCAUAGUGUAGUGUAGGGCGGGCAUAGUGUAGGGGAGGGCAUAGUGUAGUGUAGGGAGGGCAUAGUGUUGGGAGGGCAUAGUGUAGGGAGGGCAUAGUGUUGGGAGGGCAUAGUGUAGUGUUGGGAGGGCAUAGUGUAGGGAGGGCAUUGUGUAGGGAGGGCAUAGUGUAGUGUUGGGAGGGCAUAGUGUUGGGAGGGCAUAGUGUAGUGUUGGGAGGGCAUAGUGUAGUGUUGGGAGGGCAUAGUGUUGGGAGGGCAUAGUGGUGUUGGGAGGGCAUAGUGUAGUGUUGGGAGGGCAUAGUGUAGUGUUGGGAGGGCAUAGUGUUGGGAGGGCAUAGUGUAGUGUUGGGAGGGCAUAGUGUAGGGAGGGCAUAGUGUAGUGUUGGGAGUGCAUAGUGUUGGGAGGGCAUAGUGUUGGGAGGGCAUAGUGUAGUGUAGGGAGGGCAUAGUGUAGGGAGGGCAUAGUGUAGU